rnacentral:rRNA from 1 species
GACGAACGCUGGCGGCGUGCUUAACACAUGCAAGUCGAACGGAAAGGCCUCUUUCGGGGGGUACUCGCGUGGCGAACGGGUGAGUAACACGUGAGUAACCUGCCCUUGACUUUGGGAUAACUUCCGGCAACUGGGGCUAAUACCGGAUAGAAGCUCCUGCUACCUGGUGGGGGUUGGAAAGUUUCGGCGGUUGGGGAUGGAUUCGCGGCUUAUCAGCUUGUUGGUGGGGUAGUGGCUUACCAAGGCGUUGACGGGUAGCCGGCCUGAGAGGGUGACCGGCCACAUUGGGACUGAGAUACGGCCCAGACUGCUACGGGAGGGAGCAGUGGGGAAUAUUGCACAAGGGGUGGAAGCCGGAUGCAGCAACGCCGUGGGCGGGAUGACGGCCUUCGGGUUGUAAACCGCUUUCGCUCAUGACGAAGCUUUGUGUGACGGUAGUGGGUAAAGAAGCACCGGCUAACUACGUG